rnacentral:rRNA from 1 species
AACGAACGCUGGCGGCAUGCCUAACACAUGCAAGUCGAACGAGACCUUCGGGUCUAGUGGCGCACGGGUGCGUAACGCGUGGGAACCUGCCUUUAGGUUCGGAAUAACUCAGAGAAAUUUGAGCUAAUACCGGAUGAUGUCUUCGGCCAAAGAUUUAUCGCCUUUAGAUGGGCCCGCGUUGGAUUAGCUAGUUGGUGGGGUAAGGGCCUACCAAGGCGACGAUCCAUAGCUGGUCUGAGAGGAUGAUCAGCCACACUGGGACUGAGACACGGCCCAGACUCCUACGGGAGGCAGCAGUGGGGAAUAUUGGACAAUGGGCGAAAGCCUGAUCCAGCAAUGCCGCGUGAGUGAUGAAGGCCUUAGGGUUGUAAAGCUCUUUUACCCGAGAUGAUAAUGACAGUAUCGGGAGAAUAAGCUCCGGCUAACUCCGUG